rnacentral:rRNA from 1 species
UCCUGGCUCAGAGCGAACGCUGGCGGCAGGCCUAACACAUGCAAGUCGAACGGACUCUUCGGAGUUAGUGGCGGACGGGUGAGUAACACGUGGGAACGUGCCUUUAGGUUCGGAAUAAGCCCGGGAAACUGGGUCUAAUACCGAAUGUGCCCUUCGGGGGAAAGAUUUAUCGCCUUUAGAGCGGCCCGCGUCUGAUUAGCUAGUUGGUGAGGUAAAGGCUCANCUCAAGGCGACGAUCAGUAGCUGGUCUGAGAGGAUGAUCAGCCACACUGGGACUGAGACACGGCCCAGACUCCUACGGGAGGCAGCAGUGGGGAAUCUUGCGCAAUGGGCGAAAGCCUGACGCAGCCAUGCCGCGUGAAUGAUGAAGGUCUUAGGAUUGUAAAAUUCUUUCACCGGGGACGAUAAUGACGUA